CCCGCUGAACUUAAGCAUAUAACUAAGCGGAGGAAAAGAAACUAACAAGGAUUCCCUCAGUAACGGCGAGUGAAGCGGGAAAAGCUCAGACUGAAAACCUUCGGGAAUGUAGUCUGGAGAUGGGACAUCGAAGCUCUGGAAGUCGAUAAAGUGGUCUGGAAUGACACGCCGUGGAGGGUGACAGCCCCGUUCGUAGCGAUGAAAAGAGUUAGUAGAUGCCUAUCAACGAGUCGAGUUGUUUGGGAUUGCAGCUCAAAGCGGGAGGUAAAUUCCUUCUAAAGCUAAAUACGGAUAGGAGACCGAUAGCAAACAAGUACCGUGAGGGAAAGAUGAAAAGCACUUUGAAAAGAGAGUGAAAUAGUACGUGAAAUUGCUGAAAAGGAACCGCUGGGAAGCAGUGUGCUGGUUGUAGAUUCAUCUAUGACAUAGCAAGUGAGGCUUGUUUCGGCUGCGAGAGAAAAGGCCUGAGUAUUCAGCCACCUAUCAAGCGCUGGAGCGACUCUCACGAAAUGCUUCUCAUCAACCCGUCUUGAAACACGG
rnacentral:rRNA from 1 species